rnacentral:rRNA from 1 species
AUGAAGAUUGGUGAGGCCACGGGCUUGAAGAUAAACCCCACCAAGUCCACUGUAACACCCAUCCAAUGCCAAAGCGUAUAUCUAGACCAGGACUUACUGGGUUUUCCUGGGAGACAAGUUGGGUUCCCGAUCACAUAUCUGGGAUUGCCAAUUACCUUGGGAAGAUUGAAGAAAGUACAUAUGCAGUUCAUUUUUUACCAGAUCAAGGCAAAACUAGCAGGUUGGAAGGGCAAACUGAUGAACACUACUGGCAGAAGAGCCCUUGUCCAAUCGGUGCUCUCCGGCAUCCCCAUCUUCGCGAUGAUGGCCAUUUAG